UACGGAGGAUGCAAGCGUUAUCCGGAAUGAUUGGGCGUAAAGCGUCCGCAGGUGGCUAUGUAAGUCUGCUGUUAAAGAGUCUGGCUCAACCAGAUAAAGGCAGUGGAAACUACAUGGCUAGAGUGCGUUCGGGGCAGAGGGAAUUCCUGGUGUAGCGGUGAAAUGCGUGAGAGAGUCGGGAGGAACACCCGGUGGCGAAGGCGGGCUCUCUGGGACGGUACUGACGCUGAGACGCGAAAGCGUGGGGAGCGAACAGG
rnacentral:rRNA from 1 species